UGGGGAAUAUUGCACAAUGGGGGAAACCCUGAUGCAGCGAUGCCGCGUGGAGGAAGAAGGUUUUCGGAUUGUAAACUCCUGUCUUAAAGGAAGAAGUCAGUGACGGUACUUUAGGAGGAAGCUCCGGCUAACUACGUGCCAGCAGCCGCGGUAAUACGUAGGGAGCGAGCGUUGUCCGGAAUUACUGGGUGUAAAGGGAGCGCAGGCGGGUCAGCAAGUCAGAUGUGAAAAUUUUGGGCUUAACCCAAAAAUUGCAUUUGAAACUGUUGAUCUUGAGUGAAGUAGAGGUAAGCGGAAUUCCUGGUGUAGCGGUGAAAUGCGUAGAGAUCAGGAGGAACAUCGGUGGCGAAAGGCGGC
rnacentral:rRNA from 1 species